GUUAGGACCUGCAGUCCAGUGCUGGCACCGUGGUGGGAGCCGAGCUCUCCCCACAGGGACGCAGCCCUGGCCUUCCCUGUGAGGCCUUCCCGCUGCCCAGGCCCCUGUGGCUAGUUGGUCGAGCUCCCUCCUCCCCUGGCUCCUGGAAGAGUCUGUGCAGCCUCCCUUCUUCCCAGUUGCUGUUAAGACUGGGCCCAGCAGAUUGAACCACUCGGGGCCCUUGCCCCAGGAGCCACGUUCCCAGCCCUGUUUUGGAUUGGAUUUAGAGACGGGGUCUCACUGAAUUAUUUAGCACCACGCUGAAUUGCUGAGGCUGGCUUUGAACUCACGAUCCUCCUGCCUCUGUCUCACCUCCUGAGCCGCUGGGAUUACAGGGGUGCACCACCACACCUGGCUGUAGGACGUUUUUAACUAUGAAGUCACCUUCUUUUUG
rnacentral:lncRNA from 1 species